GCCGAAUUGGCUCAGUUGGUAGAGCAACGCAUUCGUAAUGCGUGGGUCGGGGGUUCGAGUCCCCCAUUCGGCUCCA
rnacentral:tRNA from 1 species